rnacentral:rRNA from 1 species
AUACGGAGGAUCCGAGCGUUAUCCGGAUUUAUUGGGUUUAAAGGGUGCGCAGGCGGCCAUUUAAGUCAGCGGUUAAAUCGUGGGGCUCAACCCCAUUCUGCCGUUGAUACUGGGUGGCUUGAUUGCGGUCGAGGUUGGCGGAAUUCGUUGUGUAGGGGGGAAAUGCAUAGAUAUGACGAAGAACACCGAUUGCGUAGGCAGCUGACCAGACCGCAAAUGACGCUCAUGCACGAAAGUGCGGGGAUCGAACAGGAUUAGAUACCCUGGUAGUCCGCACAGUAAACGAUGAAUACUUGUUUUCGGCGAUAUAAUGUCGGAGGCAAAGCGAAAGCGAUAAGUAUUCCACCUGGGGAGUACGCCGGCAACGGUGAAACUUAAAGGAAUUGACGGGG